rnacentral:rRNA from 1 species
UCAUUGUAGCAUUACAAGGCAGACGGCUCAGUAACACGUAGUCCAAYCUACCCUAUGGACGGGGAUAACCUCGGGAAACUGAGGAAAAUCCCCGAUAGAACAUUAUGCCUGGAACGGUUUAUGGUCCAAAUGAUUUUUCYCCGUAGGAUGGGACUGCGGCCUAUCAUUUUGUUGGUGAGGUAAUGGCCCACCAAGRCUAUUACAGGUACGGGCUYUGAGAGGAGARCCCCGGAGAUGGGUACUGADACACGGACCCAGGCCCUAUGGGGCCCASCAGGCGAGAAACCUUUGCAAUGUGCGAAAGCACRACAAGGUUAAUCCUAGUGUUUCCUGCUAAAGGAAUCUUUUGUUAGUCUUAAAAACACUAUUGAAUAAGGGGUGGGCAAGUUCUGGUGUCAGCCGCCGCGGUAAACACCAGC